GAGGGUAUAGCUCAGUGGUAGAGCACAUACUUAGCAUGCACGAGGUCCUGGGUUCAAUCCCUAGUACCUCCA
rnacentral:tRNA from 1 species